GGAGUACUUCCUCCGUCCCAUAUUAAGUGUCGAAAUAUUACAUGUAUCUAGACGCUUUUUAGAUGUAGAUACAUCAAUAUUUGAACAAAUUUGAAACACUUAACAUGAGACGGAGGGAGUACUAU
rfam:Brachypodium distachyon strain Bd21 chromosome 1, whole genome shotgun sequence.